GGCACUAUAUCCAAGUGGUUACGGCGACAGAUUCGAAUCAAGUAUUAUCUGUUCCUCUUUGAGGGCGCAGGUUCAAAUCCUGCUGGUGUCG
rnacentral:tRNA from 1 species